AGUGAACGCUGGCGGUAGGCCUAACACAUGCAAGUCGAACGGCAGCACAGGAGAGCUUGCUCUCUGGGUGGCGAGUGGCGGACGGGUGAGGAAUACAUCGGAAUCUACUUUUUCGCGGGGGAUAACGUAGGGAAACUUACGCUAAUACCGCAUACGACCUACGGGUGAAAGCAGGGGACCUUCGGGCCUUGCGCGAUUGAAUGAGCCGAUGUCGGAUUAGCUCGUUGGCGGGGUAAAGGCCCACCAAGGCGACGAUCCGUAGCUGGUCUGAGAGGAUGAGCAGCCACACUGGAACUGAGACACGGUCCAGACUCCUACGGGAGGCAGCAGUGGGGAAUCUUGGACAAUGGGCGCAAGCCUGAUCCAGCCAGACCGCGUGGGUGAAGAAGGCCUUCGGGUUGUAAAGCCCUUUUGUUGGGAAAGAAAUCCAGCUGGCUAAUACCCGGUUGGGAUGACGGUACCCAAAGAAUAAGCACCGGCUAACUUCGUGCCAGCCGCCGCAGUAA
rnacentral:rRNA from 1 species